UCGAGUUUCUUGAAGUAGGUUUUUCUAACUAGAGUGCGAGCUAGUGAUGGUACAGAGAUGUUUGUCAAUAUAAUAGGUGUUAUGGACUGCCGUUUGGUAUUAUCAGCGGUUGACGUAAAACUGACAUCAAUUCUUAGUUAAAGAUGUGUUUCUGAUAAAAUUGGCAAUCUCUGACAAUAUGUUCCUCCUAUUAAGAAUUAUUGAGCCACCAACUGAAACCAGUUCCGGAAAAGUACAAGAGUCACUCCCACCUAUAUCUACAAUCAGCUACUAUUUAAUAUUUCCCGGAAUUGAGAAACUCGUCCAUAUUGUUUAUUUGCAGCAUCUUGGAUUUAUAUUCUGACCAACACUUCACUGAUUCAGAGUUUAUCUCAUUAUACUAUGCAAAGAGCAAUACUAAUAUGAAAAUAUAAACACCUUACAAUAUUAUAACUAACUAUAAACAAUGAACUUUAUCAAAUAUAGCAAUACAACCUACAA